rnacentral:rRNA from 1 species
AGCAGCCGCGGUAAUUCCAGCUCCAAUAGCGUAUAUUAAAGUUGUUGCAGUUAAAAAGCUCGUAGUUGAAUUUCGGGACCAAUUUGUUGGUCGUGCCUCGGUACGUACUGGUAUUAUUGGUUUCUCCCUUCUGAAGAACCUUGAUGUCAUUAAUUUGGUGUCUUGGGGAAUCAGGACUGUUACUUUGAAAAAUUAGAGUGUUUAAAGCAAGCAUACGCUUGAAUACAUUAGCAUGGAAUAAUGAAAUAGGACGUUUGAUUCUAUUUUGUUGGUUUCUAGGAUCGACGUAAUGAUUAAUAGGGAUAGUUGGGGGCAUUAGUAUUCAAUUGUCAGAGGUGAAAUUCUUGGAUUUAUUGAAGACUAACUACUGCGAAAGCAUUUGCCAAGGAUGUUUUCAUUAAUCAAGAACGAAAGUUAGGGGAUCGAAGACGAUCAGAUACCGUCGUAGUCUUAACCAUAAACUAUGCCGACUAGGGAUCGGAUGAUGUAAUUUUUAAUGACUCAUUCGGCGCCUUACGGG